UCCGGCCGAAAGCCGGCAGUCUCGGCAGACACAUAUAACUGCCGAUGAGGGUUGCGCUCGUUGCGGGACUUAACCCAACAUCUCACGACACGAGCUGACGACAACCAUGCAGCACCUGUGCCACACCCUCGAAGGCGACCCCCUUUCAGGGGCGUGCAGUGGCAUGUCAAGCCUGGGUAAGGUGCUUCGCGUUGCGUCGAAUUAAACCACACGCUCCGCUGCUUGUGCGGGCCCCCGUCAAUUCCUUUGAGUUUUAAGCUUGCGCUCGUACUUCCCAGGCGGCCGGCUUACCGCGUGAGCUAAGCCCCGCACCCGCCUUAACGGCGGACACAGAACGAGCCGGCAUCGUUUACGGCGUGGACUAC
rnacentral:misc_RNA from 1 species